UCUUGCCGCCCAAAAAUUCAGUGCCGUCGCCGGAGAACUCUGUCGGUAAGGGUUCUAAGUUUGUGGUUUCGGUCAUUUUGAGUUUCGAGAAGGUUUUGAUGCUGUGCGGUUUUUAUAGAUGACCCACCGGAGCUUCUGGCCGCCACCGGAGCCAAUGCCGGGCCGGUUCGAAAUCGCAGCUGUUCUGUUUUCUUAAUUUGUUGUUUAUGCUGCUGCAAAAAUGUGUGGGCUGUGCUUUAAAGCUGCCUUUGAUUUUGGGUUGAGGCGGAAAGGACUCGGUGAGGCAUUUGGGUUAUGGUUUGCGUUUUGAGGAUAUGGGCGCAGAAGUCACGAAGAGUUUAUUUAGUUGUUGUGAAAAUGUUCUGUGUUGCUUUAGAUUAUUAUUUAUUAUACCCUCGCCUUUAUCUUGAUAUAUUUUAUAAGAGGGAUAUGACUUGUUUUGGAUAAUGCUU